AUUGAACGCUGGCGGCAGGCUUAACACAUGCAAGUCGAGCGAGCGGCGGACGGGCGAGCAAUGUCUGGGAAACUGCCUGAAGGAGGGGGAUAACUACUGGAAACGGUAGCUAAUACCGCUUACCUUCAGUUGUGCCUUGAUGGGAUUGGCUAGUCGUGGGGGUAAUGGCUCACCUGGGCGACGCUCCCUAGCUGGUCGGAGAGGAUGACGAGCCAAACUGGAACUGAGACACGGUCCAGACUCCUCCGGGAGGAGGCGGUGGGAAAUAUUGCACAAUGGGCGCAGGCCUGAUGCAGCCAGGCCGCGGGUGGGAGGAGGGCCUUCGGGUUGUAAAGCACUUUCAGCGAGGAGGCGUUACUCGCAGAAGAAGCACCGGCUAACUCCGUGCCAGCAGCCGCGGUAAUAC
rnacentral:rRNA from 1 species